rnacentral:rRNA from 1 species
AGGACGAACGCUGGCGGCGUGCUUAACACAUGCAAGUCGAGCGGAAAGGCCACUUCGGUGGUACUCGAGCGGCGAACGGGUGAGUAACACGUGAGUAAUCUGCCCUCCACUUUGGGAUAGCCACCGGAAACGGUGAUUAAUACCGGAUAUGACUCGUGCCCGCAUGGGUGUGGGUGGAAAGUUUUUCGGUGGGGGAUGUGCUCGCGGCCUAUCAGCUUGAUGGUGGGUAAUGGCCUACCAUGGCUUCGACGGGUA